rnacentral:rRNA from 1 species
GAUGAACGCUGGCGGCGUGCUUAACACAUGCAAGUCGAACGAUGACGCCCAGCUUGCUGGGUGUAUUAGUGGCGAACGGGUGAGUAACACGUGAGUAACCUGCCCUUGACUCUGGGAUAAGCCUGGGCAACUGGGUCUAAUACUGGAUAUGACUUCUCAUCGCAUGGUGGGGGGUGGAAAGAUUUAUUGGUCUUGGAUGGACUCGCGGCCUAUUAGCUUGUUGGUGAGGUAAUGGCUCACGAAGGCGACGACGGGUAGCCGGCCUGAGAGGGUGACCGGCCACACUGGGACUGAGACACGGCCCAGACUCCUACGGGAGGCAGCAGUGGGGAAUAUUGCACAAUGGGCGCAAGCCUGAUGCAGCGACGCCGCGUGAGGGAUGACGGCCUUCGGGUUGUAAACCUCUUUCAGUAGGGAAGAAGCGAGAGUGACGGUACCUGCAGAAGAAGCGCCGGCUAACUACGUG